UGUAGUAGGAGCUACACGGAGGUAUACGCCCUGAACCCCACAGAGGUUUAAACAGUGGUGUAGUAGGAGCUACACGGAGGUAUACAUCCUAAACCCCACAGAGGUUUAAACAGUGGUGUAGUAGGAGCUACACGGAGUAUACAUCCUAAACCCCACAGAGGUUUAAACAAAGGUUCAA